rnacentral:rRNA from 1 species
UACGGAGGGUGCAAGCGUUAUCCGGAUUCACUGGGUUUAAAGGGCUCGUAGGUGGCCAACUAAGUCAGACGUGAAAUCCCUCGGCUUAACCGGGGAACUGCGUCUGAUACUGGACGGCUUGAGUUUGGGAGAGGGACGCGGAAUUCCAGGUGUAGCGGUGAAAUGCGUAGAUAUCUGGAGGAACACCGGUGGCGAAGGCGGCGUCCUGGACCAACACUGACACUGAGGAGCGAAAGCCAGGGGAGCGAACGGG